rnacentral:lncRNA from 1 species
UAGCUGUCCAAUGGCUCCUGGAGCCAGAGAGAUGGCACCCAGCAUGCUGCAGUCUAGCCUCUCCCACUGACCACCUGAGCCUGCUGAAGCUGGCUUAUAUAAGGCUUUGGAAAGAGAAAGGGCUUUGGUGACUCUCUGGAAAUCAGGAAAAACUGUUCCAAGAUGUGUGUUAGAGAAGACCAGCUUCCGCAGGAAUGAACCCAGAAAACAGUCUACAACUAUAUUUCCAGCACAGGGGCUGGCACACACUGAGUGCUGAACUGAACUGAACAGAUGCUGUAAGCAAGAAAGAGUCAAAUUUUGCAAGAUUUUACUGAGGAGGAAGGCACUACCUCAAAGCCAGGUACUCUGCUCAGUGUGGGGACUCUAGGAGUGACAUAGACACAGAUGUUUCUUCCCCACAAAGCUUAUAACCCAGAUGAAAGGACAGACAUAUGAGUUUUAACUAACUUAAUUCUUUAUACAAUAAAGAGGAGUACUAAGUGCAUAGAUCUUUUAAGGGCCCAGGAAAAUAUUUAAGACAACUACAACAAAUUAUUGACAACACAAAAUUUUUACAAGGACCAAUUUAUAUCUUCACCUCAUGUAUGGAUUAAAUAAGAGAGCCAAUACUCAAUUCCGGGGAGUGAUAGACACAUUUGUAAUCCUGCAUCAGAAAGUACAAAGCGGAGUGGUUUCCCAACAGCCAAACGUGGGGUGAGGAGGAGACUGAGAAAGGCUUCCCACAGGGGCUACUGCAUGAGCUGGGUCUUGAAGGAGGAGUAGACCUUCCCAGGGAUGGAGACAGGGUGGAUCCCUAGGAAAGGAAACAAGCCAGAUGACACUCAGAUUCAGUAUUAUGGAGAAUGCAUUUCUCUAAGAUGGCAUCACCCUGUUAAAGAAAACCUUACUCACUGAUACUUGUUAAAGCACAGAAAAGCUUACUCAAUGAUACUUGUGUAAAUCACAUCACAAUAGAGGGACCACUGCAAAGGGAUUUUGCAACAGGGAAGAGAGAUUGAGCCCAACUCGGAGCACAGCACUGCAAAAGAAGAGUUUCUAGAGAAAGGAGAGGAUUGAUGGGUUCACUGGUGCUCACUGGAAACUAUCAAAUUUGUAAUGUGAGCAUCCCAACAUGCAGAGGAACCAGAAGUUCAAUAUUUGAGCUGAUUAAGGAUCAAUCAGCCAGUUCCCUGGGCAGGGGAGAGACUCUGCUUCCACAUUAUCAGGGAGGAACUCCCAGCUAGAGGAAGAAUGUACUUCAUUUUUAACUCUGUACCAGUCUUGAGAUUUCCUUUGGCAAAAAGCAAAAACAAAAACACGACCACCACCAACACAAAACUCAGCAGAAUUAAGAUGUAAGUUUCAAGCCCAGACCUCAAGAGACCAUGCAUUUUUCUGCUCUUUCUCGUACCUCUGCUCAGGCUGCACUGAAGACAAUUCCUGCCAAACCUAAUUAGAAACUGCAUGA